rnacentral:rRNA from 1 species
UACGGAGGGUGCUAGCGUUGUUCGGAAUUACUGGGCGUAAAGCGCGUGUAGGCGGCCCGCUAAGUCUGAUGUGAAAGCCCGGGGCUCACCCCCGGAAGUGCAUUGGAGACUGGCGGGCUCGAGUCCCGGAGAGGAGGGUGGAAUUCCUGGUGUAGCGGUGAAAUGCGUAGAUAUCAGGAGGAACACCGGUGGCGAAGGCGGCCCUCUGGACGGUGACUGACGCUGAGACGCGAAAGCGUGGGGAGCAAACGGG